AUUGAACGCUGGCGGCAGGCCUAACACAUGCAAGUCGAGCGAGCGGCGGACGGGUGAGUAAUGUCUGGGGAACUGCCUGAUGGAGGGGGAUAACUACUGGAAACGGUGGCUAAUACCGCAUACUAUCAGAUGAACCCAUAUGGGAUUAGCUAGUUGGUGGGGUAACGGCUCACCAAGGCGACGAUCCCUAUCUGGUCUGAGAGGAUGACCAGCCACACUGGAACUGAGACACGGCCCAGACUCCUACGGGAGGCAGCAGUGGGGAAUAUUGCACAAUGGGCGCAAGCCUGAUGCAGCCAUGCGGCGUGUAUGAAGAAGGCCUUAGGGUUGUAAAGUACUUUCAGCGGGGAGGCGUUACCCGCAGAAGAAGCACCGGCUAACUCCGUGCCAGCAGCCGCGGUAAUUC
rnacentral:rRNA from 1 species